UGGGGGAUAUUGCACAAUGGGCGAAAGCCUGAUGCAGCGACGCCGCGUGGGGGAUGAAGGCCUUCGGGUUGUAAACUUCUUUUGCUCUGUACAAGGCAUGCUAAUGGGUGUGUUGAGUGUAGGGGUUGAUUAGCGCCGGCUAACUACGUGCCAGCAGCCGCGGUAAUACGUAGGGCGCGAGCGUUGUCCGGAAUUAUUGGGCGUAAAGGGCUUGUAGGUGGCUGGUUGCGUCUGUCGUGAAAGCUCAUGGCUUAACUGUGGGUUUGCGGUGGGUACGGGCUGGCUUGAGUGCAGUAGGGGAGGCUGGAAUUCCUGGUGUAGCGGUGGAAUGCGCAGAUAUCAGGAGGAAUACCGGUGGCGAAGGCGGGUCUCUGGGCUGUUACUGACACUGAGGAGCGAAAGCAUGGGGAGCGAACAGG
rnacentral:rRNA from 1 species